ACAUCAUGAGCCGCUUUGCAUCCGUUUUUUCUGGUCAGAAGAAUGGAGCACUGGAUGAAGUGGAAAAAAACAAAGGCAAAGAGAGGAUUUCACAAUAAUCCAAACAAAUGCAAUUCUGAACCAUGAAUAUAGCAAGAGAAUGAAGAGAAGCAUUUAGGGAAACAACCCAGGGACAGAUUUAUAUAAAUUGUUAAACAACUGGAUAUGUAAGAUAAACGAGUUAAGGAAUAAUAUCAAUAGCAAUUAUUUUAGCUUAGGAGAUAGAACACUGAGUAUCUUUAGUGAAGGUGGGAAAUCUAAGAAGAAGAACUUGAGGGAGAAGUGUAUGCUUGGGUGGAGGUCGAGAGUUGCUAGAAUCAAGGGGAAGAAAGGAAGACUUCUGCACGAAUUUUAAGCAUGGAAAUAUUUUGAGAAGAUACUAAGUACCAGGAUGCUGAGGGAUACAAGAACACUAAAAUGAACACUUUGAUUCUUAAACCUCAUACAACUUUACCUUGUUACUCUCUUCUCUCCUCUGGUCUAUCACAGCUUCUUAUCUCUGACUAGCAAAUUGUGCUAUUUGGAUGAAGGCACUUCCAUUUAAUUAAACAUUUUUUUCAUAAGUGAAUUUUUUUUUUUCUAAGCCCAAGAGCCUAUAUUCAGCUUGUUAACCUCAUUAUAUCCAUAAGAUCACUCCAGUGAAAUUCGAAAGCUUCUCUCAUUUACUUUCUUCACAAAAAGUAAAAAUACACAUCAGGCAAGCAUAUUAAAGAUUCUACUGUAAUUAAACCUUUAUCUAAAGUUAAUAUAGCUGAGAAUAGGAAGCUUUUUUCUUUUCCUGGAGUGUAUAAAGGGCCUUCUUUUGGUCUCAGUCUUCCUUUUAUUUUUCAAAUCCAUAGCAUGCUCUAGCUAUUCCAUGAUAAUCUGCUGGGAAAAGGUCAAGCCUCAUUUUCCAGUCCUCAGAAAAGAAGGCCUUGAGAAUAGCGGUACUUUCCCUCAGUCAUUCCUAUUCCCUGUCCUAAGGAUAUAUUAAGAUAAAUAGGAAAGAAAUGAGUUUUUAACUGUGAGAAAAAGAGA
rnacentral:lncRNA from 1 species